rnacentral:rRNA from 1 species
UACGUAGGGGGCAAGCGUUGUCCGGAAUCAUUGGGCGUAAAGCGCGUGUAGGCGGCUCAGAAAGUCUGGUGUGAAAUCUUGAGGCUCAACCUCAAGCUGUCACUGGAUACUGCUGAGCUUGAGUCCGGAAGAGGAGUGUGGAAUUCCUGGUGUAGCGGUGGAAUGCGCAGAUAUCAGGAGGAACACCUAUGGCGAAGGCAGCACUCUGGUACGUGACUGACGCUGAGACGCGAAAGCGUGGGGAGCAAACAGG